ACCUGGAUAGCUCAUCUGGUAGAGCAGAAGACUCUUAAUCUCAGGGUCGUAGGUUUGACCCCCACAUUGGGCA